GAUGAACGCUGGCGGCGUGCUUAACACAUGCAAGUCGAACGAAGCACUUUAUUUGAUUUCCUUCGGGACUGAUUAUUUUGUGACUGAGUGGCGGACGGGUGCGUAACGCGUGGGUAACCUGCCUUGUACAGGGGGAUAACAGUUGGAAACGGCUGCUAAUACCGCAUAAGCGCACGGCAUCGCAUGAUGCAGUGUGAAAAACUCCGGUGGUAUAAGAUGGACCCGCGUUGGAUUAGCUAGUUGGUGAGGUAACGGCCCACCAAGGCGACGAUCCAUAGCCGACAUGAGAGGGUGACCGGCCACAUUGGGACUGAGACACGGCCCAAACUCCUACGGGAGGCAGCAGUGGGGAAUAUUGCACAAUGGGCGAAAGCCUGAUGCAGCGACGCCGCGUGAGCGAAGAAGUAUUUCGGUAUGUAAAGCUCUAUCAGCAGGGAAGAUAAUGACGGUACCUGACGAAGAAGCACCGGCUAAAUACGUG
rnacentral:rRNA from 1 species